GGAUGAACGCUAGCGGCAGGCUUAACACAUGCAAGUCGAGGGGCAUCGGGAGGGAAGCUUGCUUUCCUUGCCGGCGACCGGCGCACGGAGUGAGUAACACGUAUGCAACCUGCCUUCUUCAGGGGGACAACCUUCCGAAAGGGAGGCUAAUCCCGCGUAUAUCGGUUUCGGGCAUCCGAGAUCGAGGAAAGAUUCAUCGGAAGAGGAUGGGCAUGCGGCGCAUUAGCUAGACGGCGGGGUAACGGCCCACCGUGGCGACGAUGCGUAGGGGUUCUGAGAGGAAGGUCCCCCACACUGGUACUGAGACACGGACCAGACUCCUACGGGAGGCAGCAGUGAGGAAUAUUGGUCAAUGGGAGAGAUCCUGAACCAGCCAAGCCGCGUGAGGGAAGACGGCCCUAUGGGUUGUAAACCUCUUUUGUCGGAGAACAAAACCCGGGACGUGUCCCGGACUGCGUGUAUCCGAAGAAAAAGCAUCGGCUAACUCCGUGCCAGCAGCCGCGGUAAUACGGAGGAUGCGAGCGUUAUCCGGAUUUAUUGGGUUUAAAGGGUGCGUAGGCGGUCUGUUAAGUCAGCGGUAAAAUUGCGGGGCUCAACCCCGUCGAGCCGUUGAAACUGGCAGACUUGAGUUGGCGAGAAGUACGCGGAAUGCGCGGUGUAGCGGUGAAAUGCAUAGAUAUCGCGCAGAACUCCGAUUGCGAAGGCAGCGUACCGGCGCCAGACUGACGCUGAGGCACGAAAGCGUGGGGAUCGAACAGGAUUAGAUACCCUGGUAGUCCACGCAGUAAACGAUGAAUGCUGGUUGUCCGGGUCGAAUGAGACCUGGGCGGCGAAGCGAAAGCGAUAAGCAUUCCACCUGGGGAGUACGCCGGCAACGGUGAAACUCAAAGGAAUUGACGGGGGCCCGCACAAGCGGAGGAACAUGUGGUUUAAUUCGAUGAUACGCGAGGAACCUUACCCGGGCUCAAACGGGAGUGGAAUGGACCAGAGACGGUUCAGCCCACGGGCCGCUUCCGAGGUGCUGCAUGGUUGUCGUCAGCUCGUGCCGUGAGGUGUCGGCUUAAGUGCCAUAACGAGCGCAACCCCCGCCGGCAGUUGCUAACGGGCAAUGCCGAGGACUCUGCCGGGACUGCCGCCGCAAGGCGUGAGGAAGGCGGGGAUGACGUCAAAUCAGCACGGCCCUUACGUCCGGGGCGACACACGUGUUACAAUGGGCGGUACAGCGGGAAGCCAGGCGGCGACGCCGAGCGGAACCCGAAAGCCGUUCUCAGUUCGGAUCGGAGUCUGCAACCCGACUCCGUGAAGCUGGAUUCGCUAGUAAUCGCGCAUCAGCCAUGGCGCGGUGAAUA
rnacentral:rRNA from 1 species